ensembl:snoRNA SNORA70 Small nucleolar RNA SNORA70
CUUCAGUCAAUUAAGCCAACUGGGUUUCUCUUCUGGUGGGUGCCCAGUGUGCAGUGGCUGAGAACAGCAAUAUCCUAGAUAGCGUAUGUGGCCUGUUGCUUGUAUGGGCUGCCCUGAGGGACCUUGGAGACACUG